AGUGAACGCUGGCGGUAGGCCUAACACAUGCAAGUCGAACGGCAGCACAGUAAGAGCUUGCUCUUACGGGUGGCGAGUGGCGGACGGGUGAGGAAUACAUCGGAAUCUACUUUUUCGUGGGGGAUAACGUAGGGAAACUUACGCUAAUACCGCAUACGACCUACGGGUGAAAGCAGGGGAUCUUCGGACCUUGCGCGAUUGAAUGAGCCGAUGUCGGAUUAGCUAGUUGGCGGGGUAAAGGCCCACCAAGGCGACGAUCCGUAGCUGGUCUGAGAGGAUGAUCAGCCACACUGGAACUGAGACACGGUCCAGACUCCUACGGGAGGCAGCAGUAGGGAAUAUUGGACAAUGGGCGCAAGCCUGAUCCAGCCAUACCGCGUGGGUGAAGAAGGCCUUCGGGUUGUAAAGCCCUUUUGUUGGGAAAGAAAAGCAGCAUGUUAAUACCCCGCUGUUCUGACGGUACCCAAAGAAUAAGCACCGGCUAACUUCGUG
rnacentral:rRNA from 1 species